rnacentral:rRNA from 1 species
GAUGAACGCUGGCGGCGUGCCUAACACAUGCAAGUCGAACGAAGCUUGACGGAUGAUUUCUUCGGAAUGAAACCUGAUAUGACUUAGUGGCGGACGGGUGAGUAACACGUGAGCAACCUGCCUUUCAGAGGGGGAUAACGGCUGGAAACGGUCGCUAAUACCGCAUGAUGUGUUCGGAUGGCAUCAUCUGGACAUCAAAGAUUUAUCGCUGAAAGAUGGGCUCGCGUCUGAUUAGAUAGUUGGUGGGGUAACGGCCUACCAAGUCGACGAUCAGUAGCCGGACUGAGAGGUUGAACGGCCACAUUGGGACUGAGAUACGGCCCAGACUCCUACGGGAGGCAGCAGUGGGGAAUAUUGCACAAUGGGGGGAAACCCUGAUGCAGCAACGCCGCGUGAAGGAUGACGGUUUUCGGAUUGUAAACUCUUUCUUAGUGACGAAGACAGUGACGGUAGCUAAGGAAUAAGCAUCGG